GAAAAAAGAAUUGGAAGCCGAGCUGGUGAAUGUAACAGGGGCAGCUAGGCCAUGUCGCAAAAUAAGGUCUGAGCAAGACAAGGAGCCAGAAAAGGAGGUUGUAUCUGAAGUUGUGGGUGCUGGCCCAUCUGAGGAAUCUACAUCUGAUGCUCCUCAGGAAAUAGAUGAGUAUGAGCUCGUUGAUCCUGUUGAUAUAUUGGCUCCUUUGGAGAAGUCUGGAUUUUGGGAUGGAGUGAAAGCAACCAAGUGGUCAGAACGGAAAGAGGCUGUCGCAGAGCUAACCAAGCUUGCUUCAACAAAAAGAAUAGCACCCGGUGAUUUCUCAGAAAUCUGUCGGACACUAAAAAAGCUCAUAACAGAUGUUAAUAUCGCUGUAGCAGUCGAGGCAAUUCAAGCUAUUGGCAAUCUUGCUCGGGGUUUAAGAACUAAUUUCUCUGCAAGUUCACGCUUCCUAUUGCCAG